rnacentral:rRNA from 1 species
CGGACGGGUGGGUAAUGUCUGGGAAACUGCCCGAUGGAGGGGGAUAACUACUGGAAACGGUAGCUAAUACCGCAUAAUGUCUGCGGACCAAAGCGGGGGACCUCCGGGCCUCGCGCCAUCAGAUGAACCCAUAUGGGAUUAGCUAGUAGGUAAGGUAACGGCUUACCUAGGCGACGAUCCCUAGCUGGUCUGAGAGGAUGAUCAGCCACACUGGGACUGAGACACGGCCCAG